AUGCGUUAGGGAUUGCAGCGGCAUCUUUUUCUAUUUCUGAACUGUGCCAAUGUUAAGUAAAAAGAGUUGUUGAAAUAGAAAAAAUAUAGCGAAAAGCCCGCCCGAAC
rfam:Maribacter dokdonensis DSW-8 contig3, whole genome shotgun sequence.